rnacentral:rRNA from 1 species
UACGUAGGGUGCAAGCGUUGUCCGGAAUUAUUGGGCGUAAAGAGCGCGUAGGCGGUCUUGUAAGUCAGCUGUGAAAGCCCGGGGCUCAACCCCGGAGGGUCGGCUGAUACUGCAGGACUAGAGUACGGAAGAGGUAGCUGGAAUUCCUGGUGUAGCGGUGAAGUGCUUAGAUAUCAGGAGGAACACCAGUGGCGAAGGCGGUGUUCUGGGCCAGUACUGACGCUGAGGCGCGAAGGCCAGGGGAGCAAACGGG